CAUGACAGCACUGGUCGGCUGUCUGGGCUCCCAGUCUGCAAAUCCAAACAUGAAGGUCAGGACCUUGCGUCCAAACAACUGGCAACAAAACGCUGACUUCAUAAAGUGUCCAAACAACUGACAACAAAAAGUUAAGUAUCAAAAUGUGGUUGUGAUGGGCCUAAUGCGGCCCAGCCUCACCCAGACUCUGCCUCCAGCGGCCCCCAGGUAAAUUGAG
rnacentral:lncRNA from 1 species